rnacentral:rRNA from 1 species
GACGAACGCUGGCGGCGUGCCUAACACAUGCAAGUCAACUUGAGGGAAGGAGCAAUCUGACCUGAUGGUGGCGCAAGGGUGCGUAACGCGUAAGUAACUUGCCCAAGGUAAGGAAUAACGUCGAGAAAUCGGCGCUAAUACCUCAUAAUGCAGCGGAUCCGCAUGGAUAUGUUGUUAAAGGUUUACCGCCUUGGGAUAGGCUUGCGUCUGAUUAGCUAGUUGGUGUGGUAAUGGCACACCAAGGCUACGAUCAGUAACUGGUCUGAGAGGAUGAUCAGUCACACUGGAACUGAGACACGGUCCAGACUCCUACGGGAGGCAGCAGUGAGGAAUAUGGUCGAAUAGCACGAAA